GAUGAACGCUGGCGGCGUGCCUAAUACAUGCAAGUCGAGCGAACAGACGAGGCUCUUGCUCCUCUGACGUUAGCGGCGGACGGGUGAGUAACACGUGUAUAACCUCCCUAUAAGACUGGGAUCACUUCGGGAAACCGGAGCUAAUACCGGAUAAUAUAUUGAUCCGCAUGGGUCAUUAGUGAAAUACGGUUUUGCUGUCUCUUAUAGAUGGAUCGGCGCCGCAUUGGCUAGUUGGGAAGGUAACGGCUUAUCAAGGCGAGCAUGCGUAGCCGACCGCCGAGGGUGGUAGGCCGCACGGGAAGUGAGACAGCGUCAAUAGUCCUACGGGAGGCAGCAGAAGGGAACGGGCGGCAGUGGGGGAAAGCAUGGCGGAGCAACGGGGCGUGAGAGAUGACAGUCUUCGGAGCGUAAAACCGUGUUAUGAGGGAAAAACAAAUGUGGAAGGAAAUAUGGAGGGAGUGACGGUAACGAAUAAGAAAGCAACGGCUAACUACGUG
rnacentral:rRNA from 1 species